rnacentral:rRNA from 1 species
UACGUAGGGUGCAAGCGUUGUCCGGAAUUAUUGGGCGUAAAGAGCUCGUAGGCGGUUUGUCACGUCGGCUGUGAAAACCCGAGGCUCAACCUCGGGCCUGCAGUCGAUACGGGCAGACUAGAGUAUGGCAGGGGAGACUGGAAUUCCAGGUGUAGCGGUGAAAUGCGUAGAUAUCUGGAGGAAUACCGGUGGCGAAGGCGGCAUCCUGGACCGAGAUUGACACUGAUGAGCGAAAGCUAGGGGAGCAAACGGG